rnacentral:rRNA from 1 species
CAGGGUAUUCCUUUAGUAGCGGCGAGCGAAGCGGGAAGAGCUCAAAUUUGAAAGCUGGCGUCCUACGGGCGUCCGCAUUGUAAUCUAUAGAGGCGUUUUCUGUGCUGGACCGUGUCCAAGUCCCUUGGAACAGGGUAUCAAAGAGGGUGACAAUCCCGUACUUGACACGACAACCAGUGCUCUGUGAUACGUCUUCUACGAGUCGAGUUGUUUGGGAAUGCAGCUCAAAAUGGGUGGUGAAUUCCAUCUAAAGCUAAAUAUUGGCGAGAGACCGAUAGCGAACAAGUACCGUGAGGGAAAGAUGAAAAGCACUUUGGAAAGAGAGUUAAACAGUAUGUGAAAUUGUUGAAAGGGAAACGAUGGAGGUCAGUCGUGUCUGUGGGAUUCAGCCGUCUCUGGCGGUGUACUUCCCACAGACGGGUCAACAUCAGUUUUGGCUGGCGGAUAAAGGCAGGAGGAAGGUGGCACCCCCGGGUGUGUUAUAGCCUCUUGUUGUCAUACGCUGGCUAGAAAGACUGAGGAAUGCAGCUCGCCUUUAUUUCCGGGGGUUCCGCCCCCGUCUCGCUAGGAGUACAAGCAUGGGUUGAAAAAAGUAG